UACGUAGGGCGCAAGCGUUGUCCGGAAUUAUUGGGCGUAAAGAGCUCGUAGGCGGUUUGUCGCGUCUGCUGUGAAAACCUAAGGCUCAACCUUGGGCUUGCAGUGGGUACGGGCAGACUAGAGUGCGGUAGGGGUGACUGGAAUUCCUGGUGUAGCGGUGGAAUGCGCAGAUAUCAGGAGGAACACCGGUGGCGAAGGCGGUUCUCUGGGCCUUACCUGACGCUGAGGAGCGAAAGCAUGGGGAGCAAACAGG
rnacentral:rRNA from 1 species